CGUAGGUGGCAAGCGUUGUCCGGAAUUAUUGGGCGUAAAGCGCGCGCAGGCGGUUCCUUAAGUCUGAUGUGAAAGCCCCCGGCUCAACCGGGGAAGGUCAUUGGAAACUGGGGAACUUGAGUGCAGAAGAGAAGAGCGGAAUUCCACGUGUAGCGGUGAAAUGCGUAGAGAUGUGGAGGAACACCAGUGGCGAAGGCGGCUCUUUGGUCUGUAACUGACGCUGAGGCGCGAAAGCGUGGGGAGCAAACAGGAUUAGAUACCCUGGUAGUCCACGCCGUAAACGAUGAGUGCUAAGUGUUAGAGGGUUUCCGCCCUUUAGUGCUGCAGCUAACGCAUUAAGUUCUCCACCUGGGAAGUACGAUCGCAAGGUUG
rnacentral:rRNA from 1 species